AGCCAUGCAUGUCUCAGUACAAGCCAAAUUAAGGUGAAACCGCGAAAGGCUCAUUAAAUCAGUUAUGGUUCCUUAGAUCGUACCCACAAUUACUUGGAUAACUGUGGUAAUUCUAGAGCUAAUACAUGCAAACAGAGCUCCGACCGGAGACGGAAGGAGUGCUUUUAUUAGAUCAAAACCAAUCGGUGGCGGGCUCGUCAUCGUACAACUUGGUGACUCUGAAUAACUUUACGCUGAUCGCACGGUCAUCGCACCGGCGACGCAUCUUUCAAAUGUCUGCCUUAUCAACUGUCGAUGGUAGGUUCUGCGCCUACCAUGGUUGUAACGGGUAACGGGGAAUCAGGGUUCGAUUCCGGAGAGGGAGCCUGAGAAACGGCUACCACAUCCAAGGAAGGCAGCAGGCGCGCAAAUUACCCACUCCCGGCACGGGGAGGUAGUGACGAAAAAUAACGAUACGGGACUCAUCCGAGGCCCCGUAAUCGRAAUGAGUACACUCUAAACCCUUUAACGAGGAUCAAUUGGAGGGCAAGUCUGGUGCCAGCAGCCGCGG
rnacentral:rRNA from 1 species